rnacentral:lncRNA from 1 species
GCAUUUGGCGAUCAACCAUUGUAACCGGAAACUCUGAAUAUUUCCGGCAAAUAUUCUUUUGAGGCUGUAUACUUUCGCGCACAUUCAAAGAGUGUUUCCGUCAAUCAGCAUGAUGUAACCGGAAAUGCUGAAUAUUUCCGGUAAAUAUUUAUUUGACGUUGUAACUUUUGCGUGCAAUCAGAUUGUGUUUCUGGCGAUCAGCUAGUGCAACGGAAAAUGUUACAUAGAUAUUGAUAUAUAUUUUCCACUUAAGGUUCUCCUUCAAUUUCUCAGCUUAGGCAACAAACUUAAGGGUUAGCAUGAAUAGUUAUCACGAUAGGAACACGCAUCUAUCCUGCUCCAUAAGCUUUGAUCGUAAAGCUUUUCAUACCGUAAACAUCCCUUCAGGGAAUUGCAGCACGAUCGAUAUUGUUCGGUGGCAUAGUAUACAUAACGGUAGCGAAUUCUACUCCCCCUCUAUGGCAAAUUAAAUCCAAAUUUGCACGUGACGUUCGUGCUGUAGGAGAAUCUUCUGAUGCAGAACCAGCUUAGCAUUUUAGUAGAUAUUUAAUCCAGAGAGGCCUUUUGAUUUUUUGCUUGUCUUACUUCUGGUCCGAUGAAGUAUGGAAAUCUCUGGACCUAAUUUACACCUGUAAGAUUCCUAACCCCCGUAUGUAGCUUAGACAUUUAUGCAACUUUUCAUUGAGAUAAUUGAGGAGAGGAAGACUUUUGUUCUCAUGUAAGGCUUCUGAUAGAGAGGAAGUAGGACAAUUUCAACACCGUGAGAGUUUGGACAUUUUUUGCCUAAUUUUAAUUCGUUAAAACAUGAAAGCUUUGGUGUAGGUAUGGUACUUUUGUGAUACAAUAUUUGAGAAACUUUAAGCCCAAUUCACACUAUCAAACAUUUCAUCUGACAUAAUGGAACGAAAAGUUGGAUGAAAAGCUGAGCGAAGAGUGAUUGAAUCCAUUUUUUUUUUGCGUUCAUCAAAUUUUUCAUCAAAUUGUCUUUUUUUCGCGUCAUUAUCAUACUAUCCAACUUUUCAUUCUACAAGUUGUAUUCAAGAGUUGAAUGGACAGUUUGACAGUGUGAAUUGGGAUUUACCAACAAUUUUUUCAAUAAAGAAAGCACUUUGUAAUUCUAACCAAAACUGUGAAUGUCAUAAAGCGGUUGAGCGACUUUUUCAAAAAAAAAAUUGUCUUACAUAUAUUUGCCUCGCUCAAAAGAAGAAAACUGCUGAGAGCAACUGACAAUGAGACACUAGGUAAAGAUGAGUUUUUUAAUACGUGAGCUAUCGUCAUGCAACUUUUUUAGAGCCUCUGCCAUUAUUCAGCAAAUAAUAUGAAAAUAUAACGGUAUCGGUUUUUAGUGAAACUACUGCAAUUGUGCGGAAUAUCCAGCAAAUUUAAUCUACUUAUUACUGAAAGCUACAAUCACCAGCUAAUUUUCUUUUGUAACGUUCUGGCAAGCCCUAUCUAAGCCAAAAACGACUAGAAGGCAAUCUAAGUUUUUAUCUUCUGUUAGCACUUUUUCAAUUUGCUACCUCAUACACUGCAAAAUGACAUGUUUUGGUCAUGGUGUAAGUAAUUUUCAAAGUUAAUUGUGUACAAAAAAAUGCACUAUUGGUUCUGCACUAUGGUUAUUCCUUUUUAUCUCAGAGCAAUACUUAAAAGUAACUUUGAUAGGCAUCAUCUACUUACUGAAAAAAGUUUAAAUUUUUUUGCAGAGUUCUUCUUAGUACUUUAUGGCACUAUGGCAUAUCUAAUGAGAUAAACGAAACUUGUGUGAAUUCACUUGCCAAAAGUUGGAAUACUCACAUCUCCUUACUCUUCGAGUCCUUUUUUGAUACUCCAGGAAAAAGCUAAUAAAAAAUCAGUUUGGAGGUAUGAUAUUUCAAAAAAAAAAAUAAUAAAUAUUGACAGGGAUGAGGUAAUGGAAUAAAAUAUGAAAUACGUACGUGAAAAAGUAACUCAUAAAGUUGUAGACUAUGGUUCAUUUUUAAUCUGAGGUUCUCAGUGGCGAGGCGUGACUGAUCGAUCAUCGAUAUUUCCCGAUUUGAAGCAAUGGUAAAGAAUCUAUUAUUAAGGUAUUCGUUGCGAACACCCUGUUUAUCGAUCCUUUUCCAUAGGUUUAAAUGACAGAUCAAUCGAUAUAUCGCAAAGCAGGCAACGCCAAUGGAGGCUCUUGAGCUAUUGCCUUCUUUCAUGUUCCCCCAGAACUCACUUAUCGACCAUUAAAACUUUCAACUUUCUGAUGUCACUGAUGGUCAUUAAUUACCUAUUACUACACGUAUUCUCUUAUUUUCCUUGUUGAAACCCAUAUCUUUUUGCUUAAAACCUCCACGCUUUCACCAGACGACGACUUUUUCUAUUAAUACACAACUAAACUUUCCAUUCCUGCCGUGUAAAAGAGGAACAAUAUACGAGCCUUGAAGCAUUGUCAAUUCUCCUGGGGUAAAAUGAAAUUUUGGAGAAAUUAUGAAUAGGUAUUUUUUCCUCCAAUUGUUCAGGAAAUUUAUUCCACAAUUCAAUAAAAUAUAUUUAACAAUAUUGUAACGAAAAACACAUACAAUUUUCCUCGAAAAAAAAUAUUUUAUGGGAAGAAAUUGACGAACUUUAAAAUUGCAUUCGUCGUUUUUCCUUGGCAUGCCACAACAAAUUUGUGGUUUUUGUUCCGAUGACCUUUAAAAAGCUGAAAACAUACUCCAAAAUACGCCGGUUUCAGAUCGUUCAUUUUGCGUAAAGAACACAGCUAUGACGCAAAAGUACCAGCAGAGAAUACUAAGUUUUUCACCCAAAUCAUUUCUUCAUUGACAGCUCCGACCUGAAAAGCGUUAUGUAUUUAUUUUCGCAUUUUGAUGUUAUUCGCGAACACGCCAGUCUUUUUACGGGAAGAUGUCCAUUGUCGCAUCGGCACUGUACCGCGUGCUUUAAAAUGACAUGGGUCUCAUUGCACACGGGGCUGCAAUGACGAACCCACCAAUAAUAAUCAAAGAGCAGGUAGCAUGCGGUAAAAAAUUGCGUCAUAGGACUCACGGAUAGCGUUAACACCACGCGAUUUAUGUUUCAUUCACGCAAAAAAAUUACGUCACCGGAGGAUUCCUGAAAAUGUUAUUUUCCAAAAGAUACGCGCUAAAUUUGUGAUGCAUGCUUCGCCAUAAAUAGAUAAUUUUUCUACAUUGAUCUGAGAAAAUUACAAAAAUCCCUCUCUUCAAUUUCAAUGAAUUUCGUAAUAAAGAUUUGCGAGCGAAGCCGCGCUCGUCGUGUACUAAUUUCUGUUGAACCAUCCGUCCUGAUUCUCAAUAAUGUCAGUGUUCACAGUAUUUUUUCUCAGUAGGUUCAUUUUUUAAUUCGAAAAAUUUAAACAUAUUUUUUACGAUGAGUAGGGAGAGCGAUGGUGAGGUUUUUCUCUUGUUUUUACUUUCCUAUCCUGAGAUUCAUUCAGCGGAAUUGCAUUUUUUUAACAUCAUGAUCCACAACAUCAUAUUCUUUCCGCGAAUAUUAUAAUGAACGAAUUGUAACUUUUUACUCAGCCUAAGUAUGCGAAUUGUUUUCAAGGAAUGAAGGAUCCAUGGGAAACGGAGACUAGUCGCGUGAACAAAGCGACUUUUUUCCAAUCGAAGUUUUGUUGAGUUUUCCGCCUUAUCUCUUGCGAAAAACUUGCGUUUCUCUCUUAAAUAUAUUUUUCCUUUUUGAAUACGAAAAUAUUUUUUAUUUUUUUAAAAAUAAAAUAAAUGGCAUGGCAUGCUGCGGCACGUCAAGCGGGCGGUCAGCACGCAACGCGCAUCGGCGCCUACAAACCUAACAGGGAU